AGUGAACGCUGGCGGUAGGCCUAACACAUGCAAGUCGAACGGCAGCACAGUAAGAGCUUGCUCUUACUGGUGGCGAGUGGCGGACGGGUGAGGAAUACAUCGGAAUCUACUUUUUCGUGGGGGAUAACGUAGGGAAACUUACGCUAAUACCGCAUACGACCUACGGGUGAAAGCAGGGGAUCUUCGGACCUUGCGCGAUUGAAUUAGCCGAUUUCGGAUUAGCUAGUUGGCGGGGUAAAGGCCCACCAAGGCGACGAUCCGUAGCUGGUCUGAGAGGAUGAUCAGCCACACUGGAACUGAGACACGGUCCAGACUCCUACGGGAGGCAGCAGUGGGGAAUAUUGGACAAUGGGCGCAAGCCUGAUCCAGCCAUACCGCGUGGGUGAAGAAGGCCUUCGGGUUGUAAAGCCCUUUUGUUGGGAAAGAAAAGCAGCAGGUUAAUACCCCGCUGUUCUGACGGUACCCAAAGAAUAAGCACCGGCUAACUUCGUG
rnacentral:rRNA from 1 species